AGCAUAUCAAUAAGCGGAGGAAAAGAAACCAACAGGGAUUGCCUCAGUAACGGCGAGUGAAGCGGCAACAGCUCAAAUUUGAAAUCUGGCCUUCGGGUCCGAGUUGUAAUUUGCAGAGGAUGCUUUUGACGAGGUGGCGACCGAGUGCCCUGGAACGGGCCGCCGUAGAGGGUGAGAGCCCCGUAUGGUCGCACUGCCGAGUCUCUGUAAAGCUCCUUCAACGAGUCGAGUAGUUUGGGAAUGCUGCUCUAAAUGGGAGGUGUAUGUCUUCUAAAGCUAAAUACCGGCCAGUGACCGAUAGCGCACAAGUAGAGUGAUCGAAAGGUGAAAAGAACUUUGAAAAGAGAGUUAAAAAGUACGUGAAAUUGUCAAAAGGGAAGCAUUUAUGACCAGACUUGGGCGUGGUUGAUCAUCCGGCGUUCUCGCCGGUGCACUCUGCCCGCCUAGGCCAGCAUCAGUUCGCCUCGGGGGAGAAAGGCUUCGGGAAUGUAGCUCCUUCGGGAGUGUUAUAGCCCGUUGCGUAAUGCCCUGGGGUGGACUGAGGUCCGCGCUCGCGCUUGGAUGUUGGCAUAAUGGUCAUCAAUGACCCGUCUUGAAACACGGACCAAGGAGUCGUCUUCGUAUGCGAGUGUUCGGGUGUCAAACCCCUACGCGAAAUGAAAGUGAACGCAGGUGGGAGCUUCGGCGCACCACCGACCGAUCCUGAUGUUCUCGGAUGGAUUUGAGUAAGAGCAUACGGGGCCGGACCCGAAAGAAGGUGAACUAUGCCUGUGUAGGGUGAAGCCAGAGGAAACUCUGGUGGAGGCUCGCAGCGGUUCUGACGUGCAAAUCGAUCGUCAAACAUGGGCAUGGGGGCGAAAGACUAAUCGAACCUUCUAGUAGCUGGUUUCCGCCGAAGUUUCCCUCAGGAUAGCAGUGUUGGACUCAGCUUUAUGAGGAAAAGCGAAUGAUUAGGGACCCGGGGGCGCUAUUUAGCCUUCAUCCAUUCUCAAACUUUAAAUAUG
rnacentral:rRNA from 1 species